AGACACAGGGUUAACCUGCCUAAAUUAUGCAAGUCGAGCGGACAGAAGGGAGCUUGCUCCCGGAUGUUAGCGGCGGACGGGUGAGUAACACGUGGGUAACCUGCCUGUAAGACUGGGAUAACUCCGGGAAACCGGAGCUAAUACCGGAUAGUUCCUUGAACCGCAUGGUUCAAGGAUGAAAGACGGUUUCGGCUGUCACUUACAGAUGGACCCGCGGCGCAUUAGCUAGUUGGUGGGGUAAUGGCUCACCAAGGCGACGAUGCGUAGCCGACCUGAGAGGGUGAUCGGCCACACUGGGACUGAGACACGGCCCAGACUCCUACGGGAGGCAGCAGUAGGGAAUCUUCCGCAAUGGACGAAAGUCUGACGGAGCAACGCCGCGUGAGUGAUGAAGGUUUUCGGAUCGUAAAGUUCUGUUGUUAGGGAAGAACAAGUGCGAGAGUAACUGCUCGCACCUUGACGGUACCUAACCAGAAAGCCACGGCUAACUACGUGCCAGCAGCCGCGGUAAUACGUACGUGGCAAGUGUUGUCCGGAAUUAUUGGGUGUAAAGGUCUCGCAGGCGGUCUCUUAUCUUUUAUGUGAAAGCCCCCGGCCCCCCCGCACACGGUUUUUGUAAUGUGGAACUCUUGUGUGCAGAACAUGGAGAGGGGAAAUUCCAUGUGUCGCGUUGUCUGUGUAUUUGUGGAGGAGGACCACAGCGGUGAAGGCUCUUUUGCUGUUCUGGA
rnacentral:rRNA from 1 species